UACAGAGGGUGCUAGCGUUGCUCGGAAUUACUGGGCGUAAAGGGAGCGUAGGCGGACAUUUAAGUCAGGGGUGAAAUCCCAGAGCUCAACUCUGGAACUGCCUUUGAUACUGGAUGUCUUGAGUGUGAGAGAGGUAUGUGGAACUCCGAGCGUAGAGGUGAAAUUCGUAGAUAUUCGGAAGAACACCAGUGGCGAAGGCGACAUACUGGCUCAUUACUGACGCUGAGGCUCGAAAGCGUGGGGAGCAAACAGG
rnacentral:rRNA from 1 species